UGUUGGAUUUCGUGUGGACUCGGUGCUGAUUUCUUCCAGCAAAACAUGUAGAACAACUCAGUUGCUGGUUUUGUUGUCAAUCUCUUCUUCCACCAUAACAAGUAAUACAACUCAGCAAUCAAAGCUAAGAACAGAACAACAAAAACUAUGCUCAAACCAAGCCCUACACAGCUCAAAGAUUUCAUUUUACAUCAC